CCCGACUGCUAUCGGAUUGAGAUUAAGCCAUGCGAGUUAUACGCCUUUCGUCUGUGAGAGGUGUGGCACACGGCUCAGUAACACGUUGCCAACCUACCCUGGAGACGCAAAUAACCCCGGGAAACUGGGACUAAUAUGUGAUAGGUCAUUUCUACUGGAAUGCGUUAUGACUGAAAGGGUUGUGGAAGCAUGUUUUCACAAUUGCUCUAGGAUGGGGCAGCGUCCGAUCAGGUUGUUGGUGGGGUAACGGCCCACCAAGCCUGUAACCGGUGCGGGCUUUGAGAGAAGGAGCCCGGAGAUGGACACUGAGACAAGGGUCCAGGCCCUACGGGGCGCAGCAGGCGCGAAAACUUCGCAAUGUGCGAAAGCGCGACGAGGUUAAUCCGAGUGCCGCCCGCUGAGGGCGGCUUUUCUCAGGUGUAAAUGGUCUGAGGAAUAAGGGGAGGGAAAGCCUGGUGUCAGCCGCCGCGGUAAUACCAGCUCCCCGAGUGGUCGGGACGUUUAUUGGGCCUAAAGCAUCCGUAGCCCGCCCUGUUGGUCCCAGGUUAAAUCCAAUCGCUCAACGAUUGGGCCGCAUGGGAUACCGCAGGGCUAGGAGGCGGGAGAGGCGGACGGUACUCCGCGGGUAGGGGUAAAAUCCACUGAUCCGCGGAAGACCACCAGUGGCGAAGGCGGUCCGCCAGAACGCGCUCGACGGUGAGGGAUGAAAGCUGGGGGAGCAAACCGGAUUAGAUACCCGGGUAGUCCCAGCUGUAAACGAUGCGAGCUAGGUGAUGGAGUGGCUACGUGCCAUUCCAGUGCCGCAGGGAAGCCGUUAAGCCCGCCGCCUGGGGAGUACGGUCGCAAGGCCGAAACUUAAAGGAAUUGGCGGGGGAGCACCACAAGGGGUGAAGCCUGCGGUUC
rnacentral:rRNA from 1 species